rnacentral:rRNA from 1 species
GAUGAACGCUAGCUACAGGCUUAACACAUGCAAGUCGAGGGGCAGCAUGGUCUUAGCUUGCUAAGGCCGAUGGCGACCGGCGCACGGGUGAGUAACACGUAUCCAACCUGCCGUCUACUCUUGGACAGCCUUCUGAAAGGAAGAUUAAUACAAGAUGGCAUCAUGAGUCCGCAUGUUCACAUGAUUAAAGGUAUUCCGGUAGACGAUGGGGAUGCGUUCCAUUAGAUAGUAGGCGGGGUAACGGCCCACCUAGUCUUCGAUGGAUAGGGGUUCUGAGAGGAAGGUCCCCCACAUUGGAACUGAGACACGGUCCAAACUCCUACGGGAGGCAGCAGUGAGGAAUAUUGGUCAAUGGGCGAGAGCCUGAACCAGCCAAGUAGCGUGAAGGAUGACUGCCCUAUGGGUUGUAAACUUCUUUUAUAAAGGAAUAAAGUCGGGUAUGGAUACCCGUUUGCAUGUACUUUAUGAAUAAGGAUCGGCUAACUCCGUGCCAGCAGCCGCGGUAAUACGGAGGAUCCGAGCGUUAUCCGGAUUUAUUGGGUUUAAAGGGAGUGUAGAUGGAUAUUUAAGUCAGUUGUGAAUGUUUGCGGCUCAACCGUAAAAUUGCAGUUGAUACUGGAUAUCUUGAGUGCAGUUGAGGCAGGCGGAAUUCGUGGUGUAGCGGUGAAAUGCUUAGAUAUCACGAAGAACUCCGAUUGCGAAGGCAGCCUGCUAAGCUGCAACUGACAUUGAGGCUCGA